AUAAGUUUGGCAGAAUAUAUGUAUUAGACUUAGAAUCUAAAAAUAAGAAUUAAAUUUUCUUAACUUAUA
rnacentral:tRNA from 1 species